AACGAACGCUGGCGGCAUGCCUAACACAUGCAAGUCGAACGAAACCCUCGGGUCUAGUGGCGCACGGGUGCGUAACGCGUGGGAACCUGCUCUUAGGUUCGGAAUAACCCCUCGACAGGGGUGCUAAUACCGGAUAAUGUCUUCGGACCAAAGAUUUAUCGCCUUUGGAUGGGCCCGCGUUGGAUUAGCUAGGUGGUAGGGUAAAAGCCUACCAAGGCGACGAUCCAUAGCUGGUUUGAGAGGAUGAUCAGCCACACUGGGACUGAGACACGGCCCAGAAUCCUACGGGAGGAAGCAGUGGGGAAUGUUGGACAAUGGGCGAGAGCCUGAUCCAGCAAUGCCGCGUGAGUGAUGAAGGCCUUAGGGUAGUAAAGCUCGUUUACCCGGGAAGAUAAUGACAGUACCGGGAGAAUAAGCUCCGGCUAACUCCGUG
rnacentral:rRNA from 1 species